rnacentral:lncRNA from 1 species
AUUCAACCCCACACCCAAUCUCCUCUUAAACCCAAAGCCUAUUGGGUUCCAUUUUACUUUGGGUGAAUGCAAGUACAAUAUUCAAGAUAUUGAUGCACACUCUGAUUGGGUUUCUUGUGUCCAAUAUUCUCCUAAUACACUUUAGGUGACUAUAGUUUUUGGGUCAUGGGAUAGGACAGUGAAAAUCUAGAAUUUGAGGAAUUGCAAGUUGAAAUCCACCUUGGCUGGGCAUACUGAGUCGGUUAAUACAGUGGUUGUUUAGCCUGAUGGGUCCUUGUGCACGAGUGGUGGGAAAGAUGGGAUGAUAUUUCUAUGGGAUUUGGCGGAAAGGAAGAAGCUUUACUCGUUGGGAGCUGGUUCAACUAUUCAUUCACUUUGCUUCAAUCCCAACAGGUAUUAGCUUACUGAAGCCAGCAUUAAGAUUUGAGACUUGGGUUUGCUGGAGUGUGAGGACGAGGAGGAAAGAAGUAGAGAGGAGUUGUUGGUGGAAACAUUAUCAUAGUCGGUUGAAUAGGACAUGCAUAGAGGGGUAAAACGGAACCAACUAGUAUUGGUGUUGACACAUAAAAAUUCAGCCCAAAUCGAG